GGACUACUAGGGUAUCUAAUCCCGUUCGCUCCCCUAGCUUUCGCACUUGAGCGUCAGGUGCGCUCCAGGACGCUGCCUUCGCCUUCGGUGUUCUUCCAGAUCUCUACGCAUUUCACCGCUCCACCUGGAAUUCCGCGUCCCUCUUUCGCCCUCAAGUCUCCCAGUUUUCACGAGUCCUGUGAGAGUUAAGCCCUCACCUGUCACUCGAAACUUAAGAGACCGCCUGCGUGCGCUUUACGCCCAGUAAAUCCGGACAACGCUUGCCCCCUACGUAUUACCGCGGCUGCUGGCAC
rnacentral:rRNA from 1 species